CGUCGCCCGCUUCACGGAGGCUAAGGUUUCCAUGACUGAGCGAUUCUCUAAUCUGGUCGUGCCGCUGCCCCACAAAGGCACCGACAUGCGCACUCAGGAUACCGACGGCUUGACGCCGGCCAGGUCCCGCGCAGUUUCCCCGCUGAAUAGUCGGCGAGGCGACGUAGAAAGCACGAUAUCUCC
rnacentral:ncRNA from 1 species